rnacentral:rRNA from 1 species
UACAGAGGUCUCAAGCGUUGUUCGGAUUCAUUGGGCGUAAAGGGUGCGUAGGCGGCGUGGUAAGUCGGAUGUGAAAUCUCGGAGCUUAACUCCGAAACUGCAUUCGAUACUGCCGUGCUUGAGGACUGGAGAGGAGACGUGGAAUUUACGGUGUAGCGGUGAAAUGCGUAGAUAUCGUAAGGAAGACCAGUGGCGAAGGCGGGUCUCUGGA